CCUACGGGAAGGCAGCAGUGUAGGAAUAUUGGUCAAUGGAGGCAACUCUGAACCAGCCAUGCCGCGUGAAGGAUGACGGCCCUAUGGGUUGUAAACUUCUUUUGAAUAGGAAGAAACUUAUCUACGUGUAGAUAACUGACGGUACUAUUAGAAUAAGGAUCGGCUAACUCCGUGCCAGCAGCCGCGGUAAUACGGAGGAUCCAAGCGUUAUCCGGAUUCAUUGGGUUUAAAGGGUCCGUAGGCGGGUCUUUAAGUCAGUGGUGAAAGCCGACAGCUCAACUGUCGAACUGCCAUUGAUACUGGAGACCUUGAGUACAAAUGAAGUAGGCGGAAUGAGUCAUGUAGCGGUGAAAUGCAUAGAUAUGACUCAGAACACCGAUUGCGAAGGCAGCUUACUAACAUGUAACUGACGCUGAGGGACGAAAGCGUGGGGAGCGAACAGGAUUAGAUACCCUGGUAGUCCACGCCGUAAACGAUCAUCACUCGCUGUUGGCGAUAUACUGUCAGCGGCCAAGCGAAAGUAUUAAGUGAUGCACCUGGGGAGUACGCCGGCAACGGUGAAACUCAAAGGAAUUGACGG
rnacentral:rRNA from 1 species